rnacentral:lncRNA from 1 species
UUUUGCAGAUGAGUCUGGAAGUGUUAGUUGCAAAGAUAUGCAUUUACUUCUCUGGCUACAAAAAAGAAUAGAAAUGCACAAAGCAGAGCAGUGUGAAGAAGAAGAGGCGAUGACCCCUAGACCGACCAAAGCCCGUGCUCCACUGCCCAGUGCCUAUGUCCCACCACUGUCGCUGCCACCCUGCCCGAGAGAAAGGCUGAAGGGGAUGCUAAAGGAGAUAAAACCAAGGUUAAGUAGGAACUGCAGAGAAGAUCCACAAGGUUGUCUGCUAAACCUGCUCCUCCAAAGCCACAGCCGAAGCCCAGAAAGGCCUCUGCAAAGAAGAGAGAGAAGGUACCUACAGAGAAGAAGGGAAAAGCUGAUGCUGGCAAGGAGGGGAAUAACCCUGCAGAAAAUGGAGAUGCCAAAACAGACUAGGCACAGAAAGCUAAAGGUGCUGGAGAUGCCAAGUGAAGUGUGUGCAUUUUUGAUAACUGUGUACUUCUGGUGA